GACCGUGGUUCGAAUCCCGCUCGGAGCGGGGCGAGUAGGAUGAUCACAUAUGCUUUAAUAAAACUGAGUACUGUUUUACAGAUGGAAGACCAUCUAUUCAAAAUACAGCAGGAGCAAGUAAAGAGGCUGUGUCUGAGCCGGGCUGGAUGAGUCUAGCCAGGGAGAAGACCAGAGCCUACCAGCCAUUUUUGGGCAGAUUGGCCACAAAUCAGUCACCAGUCCACCCUACAUCUCCAACGGCUCCUCCUGCGCAGCCUCCCAAACCAGCCUUACAGCCUAAAACACAGCCACUGAGCACCUCGCUUCAUCCACCGAAAGCAGCCAGCCUACAGACCUCACAGAGACCUCCGACAAAACUAGCACCUAGUGGAACAAAAGACUGGCAGGACAAAGGCAGGAACAGUACAGCAGAAGAUGACACAACAAAGAAAGCAGCAAGACUCAC
ensembl:lncRNA